CAAGAAGUUGACAAAGGAGAACGGACACUAGACACAUUAUCCUAAAUCAUUAAUCGUGACCGUAGCCUACUGCGUGUUCUUGAAUAGAUUUAUAUACAUUCACAUAUCCUUAGGUACAAACCAACUAGAAAUCAAUCGUUAGAAAACUAAAAUUGAACUGCACCUGCUGGGAAACAGAAGCAUCUAGUAGUACUAUAAAUACGAUAUUGAAUCAUAAACGUAUCGUGUUUAUCGUUUUUAUUUGAAAAUCAGUCCAGUACAGUAGGUACUUUUAAAAUGACUCCGAAUUAAUUUGUGUAUCCACAACAUGAGAAACAUAUGGUGAUAGAAACAGUCGCCUUGAUUGAGUUUAGACAGGUCAGAGAUGGGGCAUGGAUGAAAUGUGAGAUUUUUGGUUAUUGAAAAUUAUUUUGGUUUUGGUUGGGAAGACCUGCAUCCUGCAAAGAUAUAUUGAUGACAGCUUUCAUCAUUCCGACGUGUCUACACUUGGGAUUGAUUUCAAGGUGAACUUUACACUUAAAUGACACAUUCAUUAAACUUCAGAUCUGGGAUGCAGCUGGGCAAGAGCGUUUCGACACCAUAUCAACUCAUUAUCUCAGAGGAGCCCAUGGGCUGUUAAUUAUCUAUGACAUCACAAAUUCAUUGAGCUUUGACAAUGCUGUUGGAUGGAUGAAAGAUGUUGAUGCAGUGAGAAAAGGAAUACUUUUCGUAACUUGUAUCAUAGUUACAAAAUUGAAAACAUAUGUUUUAAUGUUAGAAAAGUGUUAUAUCCUCCUUUAGUCCACAGCAGACUUGCUCACAUUGUCACUGUUUGUUCAAUCCCUGCUUUGUGGGUAAACAGGAGAGACUUCUACGUGCUUGUCUGGCAGUCAAACAUUUCAGGAGCACCUAAAAUGUAUUCAACAAUAUUUCUGCAAUUAGCCUAAUUGGAUAACCAUUGCACAGCUUUAUAACAGUUUGCUCAUUUUAAAACAACAUUAGGCUGGAUGUGUGAUAAAAUCUUUGCAUGGAUUCUGUUUUGUUUUUUAAGAAUGUAAGGGAAGGUAUUGACAGAAUCAUUUUAGGCAACAAGUGUGACUUGGAAGAAAAAUGAGUCAUCUCUAAAGAAAAAGGAGAGAAGAUGGGUUAUAACAGAUUGUUUAUUACAGUCUCACAGUUACAAGCUCACAAAGAAAGAUGUGAGCGAUCCAUUCCAUCUGAUAUGACAUACUGCUGGGGAUGAUUUAUUUUUGUUCAGAAAUACUACCAUUUAUUUUCCAGUUCACAGAUUGAAUAGUUCAGUUCUUAAAUUGUCCAUGCUGUAAAGUCCUACAAAAGAAAGUUAAUUCUGUACCCGAAUACCAGGAAACGUGAGUGAAUUACAUCUACAUUGUACAUAAAAUGUACUAACACAGAAUGCCCACUAAAGUGUUUAUAGAUUGAUUAGAUUGAUUAAAUGAGUGAGCAUAAUGACAGUGGCAGUUUGUCCAAAGUUUGUAUUACUGGUCAUCAAAGAAAACUUUUCCGGUCAAAAGAAUUUGAUAAGAAGAUUGGUCUGGA